rnacentral:tRNA from 1 species
UCCUCGAUAGCUCAGUUGGUAGAGCAUCGGACUGUUAAUCCGCAGGUCCCUGGUYCGAGUCCAGGUCGAGGAGCCA